UACGUAGGGUGCGAGCGUUGUCCGGAAUUAUUGGGCGUAAAGGGCUCGUAGGCGGUUUGUCGCGUCGGGAGUGAAAUCCACUGGCUUAACUGGUGGCUUGCUUUCGUUACGGGCAGACUGGAGGUAUGCAGGGGAGAACGGAAUUCCUGGUGUAGCGGUGAAAUGCGCAGAUAUCAGGAGGAACACCGGUGGCGAAGGCGGUUCUCUGGGCAUGUCCUGACGCUGAGGAGCGAAAGUGUGGGGAGCGAACAGG
rnacentral:rRNA from 1 species